ACAACCACGACACAAUGGGAGCUAAAACUAUUCUAGUGCUGGCAAUGGUGGCCAUACUGAUUUCUGUAUCAGCAGCCGGACUUCUGGGAGACGACGGAAAAUCCACCAUAAAACUAAACGGUGAACAUGUCAUCUAGACUUCGAAGUUAUGAUCUUUAAGCUAGAGCAAAAAUCUGAGUAACGUCGAACUUCCAAUCCAAAAACAGAAUGGAAUAUUUUACAACACCCUGUUUUGUUCUACUAAUAUGAUAUAACAAAUAAAUAGCACCAUUCGCACUUCAAACUAGAAA